AGACAUGGAGAAUCUUGGUGAGGAAACCCUUUCAGCUCAUAAGGUUUUAAACGAUGUGCAUUAAAUGUCAUGAAUUGAAUCAUUCUGACUUGAAAAUGUAUCUGUGAUUUGAAUACUUCAUGAGAAGAGAACAUGUUUUCAUGUCACCUAUAUUUAACUUCUAUCUUUGAUUCUAAUGAGCGUUACACUAACUUUUAAACACUGAUUAACUAUAUAAUGAUUCCAGGCAUGAACAAAAUAAUCGUGUCAAAGGCCAAAGGUAACGGUUUAACAUAAGAGUGGAGGAAAUGUGAUUUUCCUGCUACAUGGACAAAUGUCAGGUGGUUUAUAGAGACUUUUGAGUAAUUUGGUAAUUUACUGAUUGUGAUGUUUGUUUACAAAUUUCAAAUAUAAUUGCAUUGCUUGUUUAAAGUUAUUUAUAUUUACAUUUGACUUUUAAUUCAAAACUACAUUUACACUAUUUCACCUCAGUCUAAACUAAGUGUUUCCCACUGGUUCAUGUCUGCAUGAUUUCCAUCAUCAGGUGAAAGUUCAAAGCUGCUCAGGUUGAUUUUCCAAUAACACACUUCUUCCUUUCUCUCUUCAGUAUCUGGAACAAAGUUCUUUGUCUACGUGGCUUCUGAAACAAGAAACGCUCACAUGGAAUGGGUUUCCAAAAUGAAACGUGUUGGACACACUGAAGUGAACAUUCAGGAAGAUGCAGAUUAUUAUUUGGUUUUCUGUCCAGUCAAAUCCCGAAUCAAAACAGACAUUGACGAGGCCCUGGAGGGACUCCCAGAUAAUAAAGCAGUAAUUCUGGUGGUGAUGCAUCACACCUUUGAUCCUGAUCUGGUGAUUGUAGAGAGCAGAUUACAGGAGCUCCCUAGAAACGUCCGCCUCACUGUCGACUCCCUGUUCUAUAGAGGCAGGCUCCUCAGGUGUAACCGCAACGAUAUUGCCUGGAAUCAGAUCCAGAAAAGUCUCAACAUUCCUAUUCCUGAACCAUCCUGGAAAAGACCGUUUAACUGUGAGUAUUAUUUACACCUGGAUCCUCAUAACUGAAAGACCUCUGUCACCCUACUGGGUCAUGGCACCUCACCCUAACCCCUAACCCUAACCCUCACCCUAACCCUAACCCUCACCCUCACCCUAACCCUCACCCUCACUCUCCUUCAGACUGCAUUUCAGUUCCUUCUGUACUCUGCUGAGCUCAGCAAGGUCUCCAGUAAUGAAGGCCCUCUUCUUCUCGUUCAAAAGGGCCUUCAGGGCCUUCACUUGUCACCCAUGCUUUGUUGUUUGGGUAACAGUGCACCUAAAUGUCAUGAAUUGAAUCAUUUUGACUUGAAAAUGUAUCUGUGAUUUGAAUACUUCAUGAGAAGAGAACAUGUUUUCAUGUCACCUAUAUUUAACUUCUAUCUUUGAUUCUAAUGAGCGUUACACUAUCUUUUAAACACUGAUUAACUAUAUAAUGAUUCCAGGCAUGAACAAAAUAAUCGGGUCAAAGGCCAAAGGUAACGGUUUAACAUAAGAGUGGAGGAAAUGUGAUUUUCCUGCUACAUGGACAAAUGUCAGGUGGUUUAUAGAGACUUUUGAGUAAUUUGGUAAUUUACUGAUUGUGAUGUUUGUUUACGAAUUUUAAAUAUAAUUGCUUUGCCUGUUUAAAGUUAUUUAUAUUUGACUUUUAAUUCAAAACUACAUUUACGCUGUUUCACCUCAGUCUAAACUAAGUGUUUCCCACUGGUUCAUGUCUGCAUGAUUUCCAUCAUCAGGUGAAAGUUCAAAGCUGCUCAGGUUGAUUUUCCAAUAACACACUUCUUCCUUUCUCUCUUCAGUAUCUGGAACAAAGUUCUUUGUCUACGUGGCUUCUGAAACAAAAAACGCUCACAUGGAAUGGGUUUCCAAAAUGAAACGUGUUGGACACACUGAAGUGAACAUUCAGGAAGAUGCAGAUUAUAAUUUGGUUUUUUGUCCAGUCAAAUCCCAAAUCAAAACAGACAUUGACGAGGCCCUGGAGGGACUCCCAGGUAGCAACUUAAGUGUGAAUGUGAUGGAACUAAAUGUAA
rnacentral:lncRNA from 1 species